rnacentral:rRNA from 1 species
AUUGAACGCUAGCGGGGUGCUUUACACAUGCAAGUCGAACGUGUGGCGGACGGGUGAGUAAUAUAUCGAAACGUGCCCAGUAGCGGGGGCUACCUACACGAAAGAGUGGCUAAUCCCGAUACAAAUUAGGACGGCCGAUAUCGGAUUAGCUAGUUGGUGGGGUAGCGGCUCAGCAAGGCGACGAUCCGUAGCUGGUUUGAGAGGACGACCAGCCACACUGGGACUGGGACACGGCCCAGACUCCUACGGGAGGCAGCAGUCGGGAAUGUUGGGCAAGGGGGAAAACCCUGAACCAGCCAUCCCGCGGGUAUGAGAAGGCCUUCGGGGGGUAAAGUACUGUGGUCAGAGAAGCGGUAUCUGCAGAAUAAGCACCGGCUAACUACGUGCCAGCAGCCGCGGUAAUAC